rnacentral:rRNA from 1 species
UUGUAGCAAUACAACUGGCGCACGGCGCACGGGUGCGUAACACGUGGGCAAUCUGCCCUUCGAUGGGGAAUAACUCCGGGAAACCGAAGCUAAUUCCGCAUAACAUUCCUUGGACCUCGGUUCGAGGACUCAAAGCCGUAAGGCGUCGAAGGAGGAGCCCGCGCACGAUUAGCUAGUUGGUAGGGUAACGGCCUACCAAGGCUUUGAUCGUUAGCUGGUCUGAGAGGAUGGCCAGCCACACUGGAACUGAGACACGGUCCAGACUCCUACGGGAGGCAGCAGUGGGGAAUCUUGCACAAUGGGCGAAAGCCUGAUGCAGCGACGCCGCGUGGGGGAUGAAGCAUCUCGGUGUGUAAACCCCUUUCGACCCGGACGAAUGCCUCGCAAGAGGAGUGACGGUACGGGUAUAAGAAGCCCCGGCUAACUACGUGCCAGCAGCCGCGGUAAGACGUAGGGGGCCAGCGUUGUUCGGAAUUACUGGGUGUAAAGGGUCAGUAGGCGGUGUGGCAAGUCGGGAGUGAAAUCUCUGGGCUCAACCCAGAGGCUGCUUCCGAAACUGCCAUGCUAGAGUGUGGGAGAGGCGCGUGGAAUUGCAGGUGUAGCGGUGAAAUGCGUAGAUAUCUGCAGGAACACCCGUGGCGAAAGCGGCGCGCUGGACCACAACUGACGCUGAAUGACGAAAGCUAGGGGAGCAAACAGGAUUAGAUACCCUGGUAGUCCUAGCCCUAAACGAUCAGGACUUGGGGUGCCGCACGUUCGUGCGUCGUCCCGGAGCUAACGCGUUAAGUCCUGCACCUGGGGAGUACGGUCGCAAGACUGAAACUC